rnacentral:rRNA from 1 species
UGGUGGAGUGAUUUGUCUGGUUAAUUCCGUUAACGAACGAGACCUCGACCUAUUAAAUAGUUCUAUCAAGGCUUCUGACUUGAUACGCAACUUCUUAGAGGGACUAUUGGUUCAUAGCCGAUGGAAGUUCGAGGCAAUAACA